rnacentral:rRNA from 1 species
CCUACGGGAGGCAGCAGUGGGGAAUCUUGCGCAAUGGGCGAAAGCCUGACGCAGCCAUGCCGCGUGAAUGAUGAAGGUCUUAGGAUUGUAAAAUUCUUUCACCGGGGACGAUAAUGACGGUACCCGGAGAAGAAGCCCCGGCUAACUUCGUGCCAGCAGCCGCGGUAAUACGAAGGGGGCUAGCGUUGCUCGGAAUUACUGGGCGUAAAGGGAGCGUAGGCGGAUAGUUUAGUCAGAGGUGAAAGCCCAGGGCUCAACCUUGGAAUUGCCUUUGAUACUGGCUAUCUUGAGUUUGGGAGAGGUGAGUGGAACUCCGAGUGUAGAGGUGAAAUUCGUAGAUAUUCGGAAGAACACCAGUGGCGAAGGCGACUCACUGGCCCAAUACUGACGCUGAGGCUCGAAAGCGUGGGGAGCAAACAGGAUUAGAUACCCUGGUAGUCCACGCCGUAAACGAUAGAGUGCUAGUUGUCGGCAUGCAUGCAUGUCGGUGACGCAGCUACGACAUAAGUACACGUCCGCCGUCGGGAGGUACGGUACGCGAAGAAGUUAAACGUACUAAGUUAGUUAAGUUAGUUACGGACGUGAGACGUUGCCGACGGACGACGACGAGGGAGAGG